GAUGAACGCUGGCGGCGUGCCUAAUACAUGCAAGUCGAGCGAACAGAUAAGGAGCUUGCUCCUUUGACGUUAGCGGCGGACGGGUGAGUAACACGUGGGUAACCUACCUAUAAGACUGGAAUAACUCCGGGAAACCGGGGCUAAUGCCGGAUAACAUUUAGAACCGCAUGGUUCUAAAGUGAAAGAUGGUUUCGCUAUCACUUAUAGAUGGACCCGCGCCGUAUUAGCUAGUUGGUAAGGUAACGGCUUACCAAGGCAACGAUACGUAGCCGACCUGAGAGGGUGAUCGGCCACACUGGAACUGAGACACGGUCCAGACUCCUACGGGAGGCAGCAGUAGGGAAUCUUCCGCAAAGGGCGAAAGCCUGACGGAGCAACGCCGCGUGAGUGAUGAAGGUCUUCGGAUCGUAAAACUCUGUUAUUAGGGAAGAACAAAUGUGUAAGUAACUGUGCACGUCUUGACGGUACCUAAUCAGAAAGCCACGGCUAACUACGUG
rnacentral:rRNA from 1 species